UGCCCUCUCUUCUUACACCUAAAAUUCUCAUGCAACACCCAUUUUUGCAUUAAAAUAAAUGGCAUGGGACCUAGGGCUAGCGCAAGGGAGAGAGUCCCAGUUGGCUGGGACUCUUUGUUUCCAACUUGAUUCCAAAUCAAAUUAGAUUUGGUUUGAACCCAAUGAGAGGAAGGAAUCUAAUCUAAUUAGAAAUCCAAUCUUCUUAAUUAAUUUUUAAUUCAAUUA
rnacentral:lncRNA from 1 species